UUGAACGCUGGCGGCAGGCCUAACCCAUGCAAGUCGCACGGUAACAGAAAGCAGCUUGCUGCUUUGCUGACGAGUGGCGGACGGGUGAGUAAUGUCUGGGAAACUGCCUGAUGGAGGGGGAUAACUACUGGAAACGGUAGCUAAUACCGCAUAACGUCGCAAGACCAAAGAGGGGGACCUUCGGGCCUCUUGCCAUCGGAUGUGCCCAGAUGGGAUUAGCUAGUAGGUGGGGUAAAGGCUCACCUAGGCGACGAUCCCUAGCUGGUCUGAGAGGAUGACCAGCCACACUGGAACUGAGACACGGUCCAGACUCCUACGGGAGGCAGCAGUGGGGAAUAUUGCACAAUGGGCGCAAGCCUGAUGCAGCCAUGCCGCGUGUAUGAAGAAGGCCUUCGGGUUGUAAAGUACUUUCAGCGGGGAGGAAGGGAGUAAAGUUAAUACCUUUGCUCAUUGACGUUACCCGCAGAAGAAGCACCGGCUAACUCCGUG
rnacentral:rRNA from 1 species